rnacentral:rRNA from 1 species
UACGGGGGGCAAGGCGUUGUUCGGAAUUACUGGCGUAAAGGGCUCGUAGGCGGCCAACUAAGUCAGACGGUGAAAUCCCUCGGCUUAACCGGGGAACUGCGUCUGAUACUGGAUGGCUUGAGGUUGGGAGAGGGAGUGCGGAAUUCCAGGUGUAGCGGUGAAAUGCGUAGAUAUCUGGAGGAACACCGGUGGCGAAGGCGGCAUCCUGGACCCAAUUCUGACGCUGAGGAGCGGAAAAGCCAGGGGAGGCAAACGGG